rnacentral:rRNA from 1 species
GAUGAACGCUGGCGGCGUGCUUAACACAUGCAAGUCGAACGAUGAACCGGGUGCUUGCACUCGGGGAUUAGUGGCGAACGGGUGAGUAACACGUGAGCAACCUGCCCCUGACUCUGGGAUAAGCGCUGGAAACGGCGUCUAAUACUGGAUAUGUCCCGUCACCGCAUGGUGUGCGGGUGGAAAGAUUUUUCGGUUGGGGAUGGGCUCGCGGCCUAUCAGCUUGUUGGUGAGGUAAUGGCUCACCAAGGCGUCGACGGGUAGCCGGCCUGAGAGGGUGACCGGCCACACUGGGACUGAGACCCAGCCCAGACUCCGACGGGAGGCAGCAGUGGGGAAUAUUGCACAAUGGGCGCAAGCCUGAUGCAGCAACGCCGCGUGAGGGAUGACGGCCUUCGGGUUGUAAACCUCUUUUAGUAGGGAAGAAGCGAAAGUGACGGUACCUGCGGAAAAAGCACCGGCUAACUACGUGCCAGCCGCCGCGGUAA